GCCUCAUUGGCUCAGGGGCAGAGCGUCUGUCUAGUAAACAGAAGGUCGCUGGUUCAAUUCCAGAACGAGGCA
rnacentral:tRNA from 1 species